GAGCUCUACAAUACUUUUGAACAGAUAUUCUAUAAGAGGAGCUCAAACGUAUAAAAUUUGAGGUGCAGGUACUCGGCUCUGGCGAUCUCCUGCCCAUGUCAAGCACUGCUUAUUAGCUGAUAUGACAACAUUUCUGUGUUCAUGCUUUUCUCUGUAGGACUGCAGUAAAGUCUUGAGGGAGACCUGUAACAGUGGACCAUGCCCCAGACAGUGAGUAACCCCCCGGGCUUGUGCAUUAGUGCCAAAACCAUUCCAGAGAGAGAGACGAUAUAUUCAUGCACUGGCGCCACAGACCCUGUUCCAGAGAGGAAGGUGAUGUAUUCAGGCAAUGGUAUACUGGACCCUGCUCCAGACCGUAGGUACAGGCAGGCCUAUUCUUCCAGGUAUAGGUGGAAAUGGAGGAGGAAGUCAAAAAAAGAAACACAGCCGUUGCCGCCAGCCCCACCUCUGCCACCGUAUGAGGAAGAAAACUGGGAGGAGGAGAUGGGAAUCGUUGAGACAUAUGGAUUUGCUCCAUAUGGUACAAACUCCGCCUACCCAGUGAGCCCAAUCAAGUGCACAUAUAGGCCUACAGCUGGCCAAUCAGAUAACUCUGAUCACCGUGCUGCUUCCAUGAGUCCACAGAGAAGCCUGAG
rnacentral:lncRNA from 1 species